UACGAAGGGGGCUAGCGUUGUUCGGAAUUACUGGGCGUAAAGCGUGCGCAGGCGGCUGCUCAAGUCAGGGGUGAAAGCCCAGAGCUCAACUCUGGAAUUGCCUUUGAGACUGAGUGGCUUGAGUACGGGAGAGGUGAGUGGAAUUCCCAGUGUUAGAGGUGAAAAUUCGUAGAUAUUGGGAAGAACACCGGUGGCGAAGGCGGCUCACUGGCCCGUAACUGAC
rnacentral:rRNA from 1 species